rnacentral:rRNA from 1 species
GGACGGCUCAGUAACACGUGGCUAACCUACCCUCGGGUGGGGGAUAACCUCGGGAAACUGAGGAUAAUACCCCAUAGGAGAAGAGGUCUGGAAUGAUCCUUCUCUGAAAACAUAUGUGCCCGAGGAUGGGGCUGCGUCUGAUUAGGUAGUUGGUGGGGUAACGGCCCACCAAGCCUACGAUCAGUACGGGCCUUGAGAGAGGCAGCCCGGAGAUGGGGACUGAGACACGGCCCCAGGCCCUACGGGGCGCAGCAGGCGCGAAACCUCCGCAAUGCACGAAAGUGCGACGGGGGGACCCCAAGUGCUUACGCACUGCGUAGGCUUUUCUAAAGUGUAAAAAGCUUUAGGAAUAAGGGCUGGGCAAGUCCGGUGCCCGCAGCCGCGGUAACACCGGCGGCCCGAGUGGUGACCACUUUUAUUGGGCCUAAAGCGUCCGUAGCCGGUCCAGUAAGUCCCUGUUUAAAUCCUACGGCUUAACCGUAGGGCUGGCAGGGAUACUGCUGGACUUGGGACCGGGAGAGGGCGAGGGUACUUCAGGGGUAGCGGUGAAAUGUGUUGAUCCCUGGAGGACCACCUAUGGCGAAGGCACUCGCCUGGAAC